UACGGAGGGUGCAAGCGUUAUCCGGAUUCACUGGGUUUAAAGGGUGCGUAGGCGGCUAGGGAAGUCCGUGGUGAAAUCCUGCAGCUUAACUGCAGAACUGCCGUGGAUACUCUCUAUCUUGAAUAUCGUGGAGGUUAGCGGAAUAUGUCAUGUAGCGGUGAAAUGCUUAGAUAUGACAUAGAACACCCAUUGCGAAGGCAGCGAACUACGCGAUCAUUGACGCUGAUGCACGAAAGCGUGGGGAUCAAACAGG
rnacentral:rRNA from 1 species